AACAUGACCGCCUGUCAGAGCGAGAAUCGCCGCGGAAACAAAAAUAACAUUAGCGUGACUGGUGGAAUCGAUGAAAUAAUUUGUAGAAAAUACAAGGCAAAUUCGGAAAUCUUCGAUUCGAACACACUAACAGAGAUAACAAAAAACAGUCGCUUGUGAUGUCAGUGAUGUGAUUCUUUCAGUAAGAUGGGUAACUCCGUAUCAAAAAAGGAACAGAGGGCCACGGACAUAAGGAAAUCUGUGUUUAAAUACAAGGCUGCCCACAACCCGUGGGGAGCAACACAUCGAGCUGAUGCGAUUUACAGAGGGGUAAAAAUUAACAACGCGCGGAAGGCUGGUGGUUCUUCGUUUAUCGGAAAGAUUUUUUUUAUCAUACUCGCCGCUGGUGCGGGAUGGUUUUUCUGGCCCCGAAUUAAACACACACUCGAGGAGAUGGGUUACUACCCUAUUCUAGUGGAAUAUGCAAAUUGGAUCAUGGAUAACACCAUUUCCUUCGGGCUUGUACUUCAGCGACUUUGGGACAGAGGUAUUGAUCGUUUCUAUCCCAGCCAAACCACUAUUUCAGAGUAUAAAAAUUGGAUCAUGGAUUACGCUAUUUACUUCGGAAGCGCACUAAGGCCACUUUGGGACAAGAUCAUUGAUGUUUUGCAACCAACUGUGAAUCGUUUCUAUCCCAGCCAAACAACUGUAUCAGAGUAUAGGAAUUGUUUCAUGGAUUAUGCCAUUUUCUUCGGGAGUGCGCUUCAGCGACUUCGGGAAUGGAGAGGGGAUUUCAUCUUACUGUAUCGGAAUAAUUGAUUGGCACUAUGGACAACGGCGUUGAAAAAUAUCAGGAGAAUGUCAGAGUGGAAUUGAUAAUUCCUGUACCUCCUUAUGGUGAAGUUUUUUGUAAUUGUAAUCAGGGAUGCCACAUGUAAAGAUUAAUCUGUAUUUUACAGAUUUUUGGCCGAAAAAACGGUACAGAAUCUGUAUAUACAGAUAUACAGAUUUUCGUCGAAAAGUACAGAUUUACAGAUUUUUCGAAAUUGACAUUAAUUUUCAAAAACAAUCCAUUUUUUUUUUUCAUUAAAUAUUGAGCAAAUUGAACAUAUUUUCAACUCCUCACACGUUUUAAGCUAAAAAUUUGGUUUAUGUACCAUAAAAACUUAAAAAAUAAAAAUAGUUGUUUGUGUUUAAACAACACAGAUUUUUUUUACAGAUAUUUUUGUUCCAGAUACAGAUGUUCAGAUUUUUCCAAGGGAAAACACAGAUUUAAAUGUGGCAACCCUGAUUGUAAUUGUGUAGUAUAGGAGGGGCCCUAGGCCCAGGUCUCCAGUGUAUACACCGUCCAUGCUAUACUAGUAGAUUCUACUAAGUAGAAUAGUGGAGAUGGAACAAUAAAGCAAUCAGGCGGAUUGAAAUGGGUAUGUUGCAUAA